rnacentral:tRNA from 1 species
UAGCUUAGUAGUUAAGGCUAUGGAUCGCCAAUCCGGAGAUAACGGGUUCGAUUCCCGU